rnacentral:rRNA from 1 species
GAUGAACGCUGGCGGCGUGCCUAAUACAUGCAAGUCGAGCGAACGGACGAGAAGCUUGCUUCUCUGAUGUUAGCGGCGGACGGGUGAGUAACACGUGGAUAACCUACCUAUAAGACUGGGAUAACUUCGGGAAACCGGAGCUAAUACCGGAUGAUAUUUUGAACCGCAUGGUUCAAAAGUGAAAGACGGUCUUGCUGUCACUUAUAGAUGGAUCCGCGCUGCAUUAGCUAGUUGGUAAGGUAACGGCUUACCAAGGCAACGAUGCAUAGCCGACCUGAGAGGGUGAUCGGCCACACUGGAACUGAGACACGGUCCAGACUCCUACGGGAGGCAGCAGUAGGGAAUCUUCCGCAAUGGGCGAAAGCCUGACGGAGCAACGCCGCGUGAGUGAUGAAGGUCUUCGGAUCGUAAAACUCUGUUAUUAGGGAAGAACAUAUGUGUAAGUAACUGUGCACAUCUUGACGGUACCUAAUCAGAAAGCCACGGCUAACUACGUGCCAGCAGCCGCGGUAAUACGUAGGUGGCAAGCGUUAUCCGGAAUUAUUGAGCGUAAAGCGCGCGUAGGCGGUUUUUUAAGUCUGAUGUGAAAGCCCACGGCUCAACCGUGGAGGGUCAUUGGAAACUGGAAAACUUGAGUGCAGAAGAGGAAAGUGGAAUUCCAUGUGUAGCGGUGAAAUGCGCAGAGAUAUGGAGGAACACCAGUGGCGAAGGCGACUUUCUGGUCUGUAACUGACGCUGAUGUGCGAAAGCGUGGGGAUCAAACAGGAUUAGAUACCCUGGUAGUCCACGCCGUAAACGAUGAGUGCUAAGUGUUAGGGGGUUUCCGCCCCUUAGUGCUGCAGCUAACGCAUUAAGCACUCCGCCUGAGGAGUACGACCGCAAGGUUGAAACUCAAAGGAAUUGACGGGGACCCGCACAAGCGGUGGAGCAUGUGGUUUAAUUCGAAGCAACGCGAAGAACCUUACCAAAUCUUGACAUCCUUUGACAACUCUAGAGAUAGAGCCUUCCCCUUCGGGGGACAAAGUGACAGGUGGUGCAUGGUUGUCGUCAGCUCGUGUCGUGAGAUGUUGGGUUAAGUCCCGCAACGAGCGCAACCCUUAAGCUUAGUUGCCAUCAUUAAGUUGGGCACUCUAAGUUGACUGCCGGUGACAAACCGGAGGAAGGUGGGGAUGACGUCAAAUCAUCAUGCCCCUUAUGAUUUGGGCUACACACGUGCUACAAUGGACAAUACAAAGGGCAGCGAAACCGCGAGGUCAAGCAAAUCCCAUAAAGUUGUUCUCAGUUCGGAUUGUAGUCUGCAACUCGACUACAUGAAGCUGGAAUCGCUAGUAAUCGUAGAUCAGCAUGCUACGGUGAAUACGUUCCCGGGUCU